CUUUAUCACAAAAAUACAUGACACUUCCAUUGUGAAAUGUGAUCUAGCAGAGAUUAAUUUCACAAACAUUUAUCAUAUAUGUUCUCUAUAUUGUUUAAACACACAAGGGUUAAUAUGAUUUCCAACACAAUAGUAGGUGUCACCAGAGCAAAGUGACUUGACAGGAUAAUACAAUGGCAGGAAUGUUUAAGGAGUUAAUCAGUGUGUUGUUAAAUAGGUCAACCAUCUCAUCAUCGGUGCACUCCAGUGAUAAUCCAGGUGGGACAAGCAACAUCAAAACACUUUUUGGAAACCACCACACCUGCCAUGGACAGGGGCCUUUUCCUGAUAGUCAGAUCCAACUUGACAUGUUUUAUUUAGUAGGCCAGUGGUGUCUGGUCCCCUUCAGGGGUGUGAGGUACGGGAGGUCCCCUCCCACUCUGGAAAUUGAGGGGGCCCCGGCGUACUCCAUCCUCUCCAUCAUCAACUCAAGGCGCCGGGCGGGGGGCCUCCAGUACCUCGUAGAGUGGGAGGGGUAUGGCCCGGAGGAAUGGAGCUGGGUCCCUGUGAAGGAGGUCCUGGCUUCCGCCCUCCUGCACGACUUCCGUCGCCCGGAUCACCCUGUUCCGCGUCCCCCGGGGCCGGUGUUGUCAGAGGGGGGGGUACUGUGAUGACGGCGCCCUCUGCUGCCUCUCCUCCCCCUGCAGCAGGCAGGCUCCAGCGGUCGACGUCACCGGGCUUCUAACACCACCGCCCAUCUCCUUCAUUCCUCAUUUUAAUCAUUCCCCCCAGUAUAUAUGUUCCCUCUGCUUCCUCUGUCUUUGUGUGUUAUUGUCUUGCCUGCUAAGAGCAUUGUUGGGCUACGCCAUUUUUUACCUAUUAAAUAACUGUCAAUAAUACAA
ensembl:lncRNA